CUGUCAGCUUCGCGAGAGAUCAGGGAGAGCACAGAUCUAUCCCUUUUUCAGUUCAGAGGGAAACACCCGACAACAACCUCAACAAACACAACAGCGAGGACGAAGAGUGAGCCAGAAAUUCCAUCUGCAUGAAGUAUGCUGGGAAAAGCCUGGCGAGGAAUCCUGGUUGGUGAAAAACAGAUUCGGUGCUUAUUGUUUUGCUCUGACCGACUUCAAAACACCCUGACGCUGUCCCGAGAGGCCUGAGAGAAGCAGGGCCCCCUCUAUAGAAGCCCUUUCUUAACCCCCUGACGCUGUCCCGAGAGGCCUCCGACAGAGAGAAGCCGGGCCCCCUCUAUAGAAACCCUUUCUUGGGAAGAGUCCAGAUUUCUCCCAGCACUUCCUC
rnacentral:lncRNA from 1 species